AGUACUACGCCGGAUGAACGGAAAUCAUUGAUGUUGAUUAAUAUGGGGUUAUGGGCUGCCUCUAGUACUA
rnacentral:tRNA from 2 species